CAAAUUUACCGUCUAAAAAAAAAUUCAAAAAUUAUUAGACGUCUGCUAACUUCAGUAUCAUAUUAUUUUAUUAAUAAAUCGCAUUACAUUCGUAUGAAAUUUUCAACUUCCGGUGACCGAUAUAUUUAUUACUCUAAAUCUGAAGCAUAAAAAAAUUUAUAUUAAAAUAAGGAAACGUAUAAUUCAAAUUGAACGCCCUUUGGUAUUUUCUACACGAAAAAAUUAUUCUCGUUUUAAAUCCUACGGUGUCAUGGUAACGCCAGACCACGUGGUCACCUAGCGGGAAUUCAAAUAAACGUUUAAAAAAUCACUAUGGCCAUAGCAAAAUUUCCAUUAGUUAUCACCGUAAUUUGUGAUAAAAUAAAUAACCCACCAGGAUAUGCAAGAUAACUCGUUGACGCGACCAACUUUUAGCUGCUGGAGCUGACCCUUAAAGUUAUGAAAAAUUAAUAAAAUGUCUCUAGUGCUUGUGUCGGCAUUCGCUAGCCAAAUGUUUGAAGUACGCGUGCAUUCAGUGCGCAGCUGCGAAAAAUUGAAUUAUAUUUAGCGAUCAACGAUCGAUUAAACGGCAAACGUCAGACUCGUAUAGUUCAUAACUCUUUUGUAUUUUUUAGUUGUGACCUUAUUUUGUUAGCCGAGUUUAUGUAAGUCUGAAAAUUUUAAUCUCGCUCUGAAUGAACGUCUCCUGUGGAAUGAAACUCGUGGGUUUUUAUUUAAUAUGAAAAUUCUCAGCACGUUGAUGAGGAUAUUUAUAAACCCGAUCAUCAAAGUGGAGGGAGAGGAUAAAACAAAGGGAAUUUAUAAAGAGUAACAGUGGUGAUAAUA